rnacentral:lncRNA from 1 species
GGUGCAGCACACCAGCAUGGCACAUGUAUACAUAUGUAACUAACCUGCACAUUGUGCACAUGUACCCUGAAACUUAAAGUAUAAUAAUAAUAAAAUAAAAAAAAAGUUGCUGCUAUCUUAGAGAAAUACACAGCUGAGAUACACAAUGUUCCUAUUCUUACAGCAAUAUGAACAUCAGCUAAACUGGAAAAGCUGCACUAUAAUAAACUGUCUUCAACACACACACACACACAAAAUAGACCAUUAGCCAGACUAAUAAAGAAGAAAAGAGAGAAGAAUCAAAUAGACACAAUAAAAAAUAAUAAAGGGGUUAUCACCACUGAUCCCACAGAAAUACAAACUACCAUCAAGAAUUCUAUAAACAUCUCUACACAAAUAAACUAGAAAAUCUAGAAGAAAUGGAUAAAUUCCUGGACACAUACACCCUCCCAAGACUAAAUCAGGAAGAAGUCGAAUCCGUGGAUAGACCAAUCACAAGUUCUGAAAUUGAGGCAGUAAUUAAUAGCCUACCAACCAAAAAAAGCCCAGGUCCAGAUGGAUUUACAGCUGAAUUCUACCAGAGAUACAAAGAGGAGCUGGUACCAUUCCUUCUGAAACUAUUCAAAACAGCAGAAAAAGAGGGACUCCUCCCUAAUUCAUUUUAUGAGGCCAGCAUGAUCCUGCUACAAAACCUGGCAGAGACACAACAAAAAAAGAAAAUUUCAGGCCAAUAUCCCCAAUGAAUGUCGAUGCAAAAAUCCUCAAUAAACUAGUGGCAAACAGAAUCCAGCAGCAAAAAGCUUCUCCACCACGAUCGAGUCAGCUUCAUCCCUAGGAUACAAGGCUGGUUCAACAUAUGCAAAUCAAUAAACGUAAUCCAUCAUAUAAACAGAACCAAGGACAAAAACCACAUAAUUAUCUCAAUAGAUGCAGGAAAGUCCCUCAAUAAAAUUCAACACCGCUUCAUGCUAAAAACACUCAAACUACAUAUCAAUGGAACAUAUCUCAAAAUAAUAAGAGCUAUUUUUGACAAACCCACAACCAAUAUCAUACUGAAUGAGCAAAAGCUAGAAGCAUUCCCUUUGAAAACCAGCACAAGACAAGGAUGUCCUCUCUCACCACUCCUAUUCAACAUAGUAUUGGAAGUUCUGGCCAGGGCAAUCAGGCAAAAUAAAGAACUAAAGGGUAUUCAAAUAGGAAGAGAGAAAGUCAAAUUGUCUCUGUUUGCAGAUGACAUGAUUGUAUAUUUAGAAAACCCCAUCGUCUCAGCCCAAAAACUCCUUAAGCAGAUAAGCAACUUCAGCAAAUUCUCAGGAUACAAAAUAAAUGUGCAAAACUCACAAGCAUUCCUAUACACCAAUAAUAGACAAACAGAGGCAAAUCAUGAGUGAACUCUCACUCACAAUUACUACAAAGAGAAUAAUAUACCUAGGAAUACAACUUACAGGGGAUAUGAAGGACCUCUUCACGGAGAACUACAAACCACUGCUCAAGGAAAUAAGAGAGGACACAAACAAACAGAAAAACAGUCCAUGCUCAUGGAUAGGAAGACUCAAUAUCGUGAAAAUGGCCAUACUGCCCAAAGUAAUAUAUAGAUUCAAUGCUAUUCCCAUCAAGCUACCAUUGACUUUCUUCACAGAAUUAGAAAAAACUACUUUAAAUUUCAUAUGGAACCAAAAAAGAGCCCAUAUAGCCAAGACAAUCCUAAGCAAAACGAAGAAAGUUGGAGGCAUCAUGCUACCUGACUUCAAACUAUACUACAAGGCUACAGUAACCAAACAGCAUGGUACUGGUACCAAAACAGAUAUAUAGACCAAUGGAACAGAACAGAGUCCUCAGAAAUAACGCCACACAUCCACAACCACCUGAUCUUUGACAAACCUAACAAAAACAGCCAAUGGGGAAAGGAUUCCCUAUUUAAUAAAUGGUGCUGGGAAAACUGGCUAGCCAUAUGUAGAAAGCUGAAACUGGAUCCCUUCCUUUCACCUUACACAAAAAUUAACUCAAGAUGGAUUAAAGACUUAAACAUAAGACCUAAAACCACGAAAACCCUAGAAGAAAACCUAGGCAAUGCCAUUCAGGACAUAGGCAUGGGCAAAGACUUCAUAACUAAAACACCAAAAGCAAGGGCAACAAAACCCAAAAUUGACAAGUAGGACCUAAUUAAACUAAAGAGCUCCUGCACAGCAAAAGAAACUAUCAUCAAAAUGAAUAGGCAACAUACAGAAUGGAAGAAAAUUUUUGCAAUCUAUCCAUCUGAAAAAGAGCUACUAUCCAGAAUCUACAAGGAACUUAAACACAUUUACAUGAAAAAAAAACCCAUUAAAAAGUAGGCAAAGGAUAUGAAAAGAUACUUCUCAAAAGAAGACAUUUAUGUGGCCAAGAAACUAUGAAAAAAAGCUUAUCAUCACUGGUCAUUAGAGAAUGCAAAUCAAAACCACAAUGAGAUACCACCUCAUGCCAGUUAGAAUGGCGAUCCUUAAAAAGUCAGGAAACAACAGAUGCUGGAGAGGAUGUGGAGAAAUAAGGAUGCUUUUACACUGUUGGUGGGAGUGUAAAUUACUUCAACCACUGUGGAAGACAGUGUGACAAUUCCUCAAGUAUCUAGAACCAGAAAUACCAUUUGACCCAGCAAUCCCAUUACUGGGUAUAUACCCAAAGGAUUAUAAAUCAUUCUACUAUGAAGACACAUGCACAUGUAUGUUUAUUGCAGCACAAUUCAUAAUAGCAAAGACUUGGAA